UCCCUCUCAGGGUCACAGCUGGAGAGUUUCCAGUACUCUACCAGUCUCAGCUACGGGAGGGAGAGUCAAGCCGAGGUCUACCCAUUCCAUUCCUAGCUUGGGCAGUGACUAGUGAGUAGAAGGUAAUUGGCUACAAGU